AGAAAGAUGUUUAUACCCAGUGACAGCCACUACCCAGCCACCAGCGCAGGGCCUGAAAGCUGAGCCUACACUGGGAACUAUUUACUGUCAGCUGCUCUCUGUCAGCAGGCUCCGGAGCCACAGGGACUCUAAGGAAGCAAAGAUUGAGAGCCAGCUGAAGAGGAGAGAGAGGCUGCAGAGGAUACCUGAACCGGGGAGCUGGUUGGGUUCCCACAGGGCACUGCGAGGCGUUGCCUGGUGUUGGAGAACGAGCUGGCCCCUGGCUGAUCUUAAACAGCGCGGCUGAGGGCCAUAGCGAGGGUACUGUGUAAGCCAUGAAGCUUUGGGUCAUCGGCACCGCCAGUUCCCUGUGCUUCUAGCUCUGCAUGAAACCAAGGGCCAUAAAGAGGCGGCAGGAGUCCCUAAGGAGAAGGAGGAACUGCAGCUGAGGGGGCCAUGCAGGACACAGGGAGGACUGGCAAGAGAUCAAGACUGAGCUGGCCAAGACUGUACAUGGAAGAAUCCAACGCCAGCCAGAAGCUCACAGAGGAAGCGCUGUAGGUGAUUGGGCAAAUAGCUUAUCUGUGACUGGAUUCAUUCCAGAGGCAAACUGGGCUUAGCUGAAGGUUCACCUGUAGGGGACAGUGGUGGCAGUAUCACAGAGAGCAUCAAGGCCAUGAAACAAACCAAGCACAUUCCAGAAAAGCGGGCUGAUCAUUUUGACCUUCACACCUGCAGAGACUGUACGAUUAACACGAAGGACUCCCUCAGGGUCUCAUAGACCUAGGCUGGUCCAGGUGGGGACUGUGGCGAUGCCAGGAAAGGAAGAAAAGGUGUGAGAUGGGGAGAAGAUAAGAAGAGGGCUGCAGGAGUGAAGGCUGGGGCUAGCCCCAGCUCCCAAGUAUGCUGGCGACUCCAUGUGUCUGCUUCCUUCUGCUGCUCAGCUGCUGUAGCAAUGACAAUGACAGUUAUGGCUUCGAGAUAUUCUUAGCUGUAAGUCUAAUGUUUCAUCUGGAAUAAAUAUCAAACUUGGAUUAAGACAAGUGCACUUGAGCUUCACAAGCAUGUAUGCACAUAAACACACUCAAACACACAUACAAACACACUCAUACACACAUACACACAAACACACACAUACAUAUACACAUACACACAAGCACACACACAAACAUACACAUGCACACAUACAUAUACACAUACAUACAAAUGCACACACACAAAACCACACACACACACACAAAACCACAUACACAUACAAACAAACACCCACACACAUGCACACACACAAACACACACACACACACACACACACACACACACACACACAAGCUGUUCUAGUUUUUUUCCAAGUUCACAGAUAGGAACCUUCUGCCUUGUUUAGACUUUAUUUUUUCACACAGGGUCUCAUGUCUUCCAGGCCGGUCUCAAACUCCCUAUGUAGCUGAGAAUGACCUUGAACUUUAAUACCCUCUUCCCUCCACCUCCUGAGUGCUGGAAUUAGAGGUGUGCGACACCACACUCCAUUCAUGUGGAUCAAUCCAGGGUUUUAUGCCCUGAGCUGCGUCUCUAAGCUGCGAUGUCAUUUCUUUUGGGUUUGUCCUGAAAGUUCAACACACCCCAAUUAAACCCAGAGAAUUACUUUGUGGAUAUGGAAAGAAAGGCCAAUAAAAUCCUAAAAGCAAGGAACAAAGAAGGUUGAUAUUAUCAGCCUUGGAGCACACUGUGAAGUGGCAGCUGUCAGUAUUCUGUGAUACUGGUGACGGAAUAGACCCACAGAGUAGAAAGAGAAAGGAGAGACCUAGAAAUAGACCCACGUGAUUCUCUCUGACAUUCCCAGGGGAGAAAAGACAAGAUAAUACUUUCCACAGAUGGUACCAGGAGAAUUGGGCAUCUAUGUUCACAAAAAUGUGCAGACAAACAGAUGUUAUACCUUUUGUUUGUUUUUUGGUGUCUCCAUGUAGUCCUGGGUGUUGUGGAACUGGCUCUGUAGACCAGGCUGACUUCAAAUUCACAGAAAUCAGCUUGCCUCUCUGCCUCUCCAGCAGGGAUUAAAGGAGUGGGCCAUCUUUUAUGAAAAAGAAAAACACAUUCAAAUGUAAAAACAUAAUGAUGAAAUUUCUGGGUGAACAUAUUAGACAAUCUAGUAACCUUGGGUUACUGCUUCUCUGUACCCCAGUUUCCUCAUCCAUUCUUGAGAGAGAGAGAGAGAGAGAGAGAGAGAGAGAGAGCAGAAUGGUCAGUUUAUCUAGUGGGAAGCUGAGAAGCUGGGAAUUAUCACCUAGGGAUGCUACACCUGGGGAUGCUACACCUGGGGAUGCUACACCUGGGGAUGCUACACCUGGGGAUGCUACACCUGGGGAUGCUACACCUGGGGAUGCCACAUUUUUGUAGCCUGACAGGACACUUCCUGGUUUCAUCUCUGAGAAAAAGCAGUAGUGACAAAAUAAAAAACAUCAAACACAAAAAUUACAAUAGUUUCACUAUGUGGAAGCUUAUUUUUGACGGGGAUAGAAAUCUGGCCUCCAAGAGGCCCAGGGCUAACAGAGGAUGCCACAGUGACUGGUAUCUGGACUCCAUUGUUUCUCCAUUGUCC
rnacentral:lncRNA from 1 species